UACGGAGGAUGCAAGCGUUAUCCGGAAUGAUUGGGCGUAAAGCGUCCGCAGGUGGCAAUACAAGUCUGCUGUCAAAGGUCAAGGCUCAACUUUGGACAGGCAGUGGAAACUGUAUAGCUAGAGUAUGGUGGGGGCAGAGGGAAUUCCCAGUGUAGCGGUGAAAUGCGUAGAGAUUGGGAAGAACACCAGUGGCGAAAGCGCUCUGCUAGGCCAAAACUGACACUCAGGGACGAAAGCUAGGGGAGCGAAUGGG
rnacentral:rRNA from 1 species